rnacentral:rRNA from 1 species
GCAAAACGCGAAGAACCUUACCAACCCUUGACAUGGAGGGGACCGUUCCAAAGAUGGUUCUUUCACUUCGGUGACCCCUCACACAGGUGCUGCAUGGCUGUCGUCAGCUCGUGUCGUGAGAUGUUCGGUUAAGUCCGGCAACGAGCGCAACCCACACUUUCAGUUGCCAGCAUUCAGUUGGGCACUCUGAAAGAACUGCCGGUGAUAAGCCGGAGGAAGGUGUGGAUGACGUCAAGUCCUCAUGGCCCUUACGGGUUGGGCUACACACGUGCUACAAUGGCAGUGACAAUGGGCUAAUCCCAAAAAGCUGUCUCAGUUCGGAUUGGGGUCUGCAACUCGACCCCAUGAAGUCGGAAUCGCUAGUAAUCGCGUAACAGCAUGAUGCGGUGAAUACGUUCCCGGGUCUUGUACACACCG